UGCGUAGGCGGCCAAAUAAGCCAGAGGUGAAAGGCUACGGCUCAACCGUAGUAAGCCUUUGGAACUGUAUGGCUUGAGUGCAGGAGAGGAGAGUGGAAUUCCUAGUGUAGCGGUGAAAUGCGUAGAUAUUAGGAGGAACACCAGUGGCGAAGGCGACUCUCUGGACUGCAACUGACGCUGAGGCACGAAAGCGUGGGGAGCGAACA
rnacentral:rRNA from 1 species